GUCUACAGCCAUGCCACCCUGAACGUGCCUGAUCUCGUCUGAUCUCGGAAGCUAAGCAGGGUCAAGCCUGGUUAGUACUUGGAUGGGAGACCUCCUGGAAAUACCGGGUGCUGUUGGCU
rnacentral:rRNA from 1 species